AUUGAACGCUGGCGGCAUGCCUUACACAUGCAAGUCGAACGGUAACAGGUCUUCGGAUGCUGACGAGUGGCGAACGGGUGAGUAAUACAUCGGAACGUGCCCGAGAGUGGGGGAUAACGAGGCGAAAGCUUUGCUAAUACCGCAUACGAUCUCAGGAUGAAAGCAGGGGACCGCAAGGCCUUGCGCUCACGGAGCGGCCGAUGGCAGAUUAGGUAGUUGGUGGGAUAAAAGCUUACCAAGCCGACGAUCUGUAGCUGGUCUGAGAGGACGACCAGCCACACUGGGCCUGAGACACGUCCCAGACUCCUACGGGAGGCAGCAGUGGGGAAUUUUGGACAAUGGGCGCAAGCCUGAUCCAGCCAUGCCGCGUGCAGGAUGAAGGCCUUCGGGUUGUAAACUGCUUUUGUACGGAACGAAAAGACUCUGGUUAAUACCUGGGGUCCAUGACGGUACCGUAAGAAUAAGCACCGGCUAACUACGUGCCAGCCGCCGCAGUAAGAC
rnacentral:rRNA from 1 species